AUACGGAGGGGGCUAGCGUUGUUCGGAAUUACUGGGCGUAAAGCGCGCGUAGGCGGAUUGGUUAGUUGGGGGUGAAAUCCCAGGGCUCAACCCUGGAACUGCCCUCAAUACUGCCAGUCUAGAGAUCGAGAGAGGUGAGUGGAAUUCCUAGUGUAGAGGUGAAAUUCGUAGAUAUUAGGAAGAACACCAGUGGCGAAGGCGGCUCACUGGCUCGAUACUGACGCUGAGGCGCGAAAGCGUGGGGAGCAAACAGGAUUAGAAACCCCAGUAGUCC
rnacentral:rRNA from 1 species